UACGAAGGGGGCUAGCGUUGUUCGGAAUCACUGGGCGUAAAGCGCACGUAGGCGGAUCUUUAAGUCAGAGGUGAAAUCCCAAGGCUCAACCUUGGAACUGCCUUUGAUACUGGGGAUCUUGAGUCCGGGAGAGGUGAGUGGAACUGCGAGUGUAGAGGUGAAAUUCGUAGAUAUUCGCAAGAACACCAGUGGCGAAGGCGGCUCACUGGCCCGGUACUGACGCUGAGGAGCGAAAGCGUGGGGAGCGAACAGG
rnacentral:rRNA from 1 species